rnacentral:rRNA from 1 species
UACAGAGGUCCCAAGCGUUGUUCGGAUUCAUUGGGCGUAAAGGGUGCGUAGGCGGCGCGGUAAGUCGGGUGUGAAACUCUCGGAGCUUAACUCCGAAACUGCAUUCGAUACUGCGGUGCUUGAGGACUGGAGAGGAGACUGGAAUUCAUGGUGUAGCAGUGAAAUGCGUAGAGAUCAUGAGGAAGACCAGUGGCGAAGGCGGGUCUCUGGACAGUUCCUGACACUGAGACACGAAGGCCAGGGGAGCAAACGGGG